AUUAAUUACAAAAAAAAAAGAAGAAGAAAAAAAGU
rnacentral:sRNA from 1 species